rnacentral:rRNA from 1 species
GCACCUGAAAUCAAGUAAGAUGACCCGCUGGACUUAAGCAUAUUACUAAGCGGAGGAGAAGAAAUUAACAAAGAUUGCCUUAGUAAGGGCGACUGAACCGGCAAAAGCUCGAAAUUGGAAUCGGAGAUUCAAAGAAUCUUCGAAUUGUAAUCAGGUCCGCCGAAAUACGGAAAAUCGCUCAAUUACGUCGAAACGUAAGCCAGAGAGGGUGAAAGCCCCGUACAGCGUUAUUCCGAAACAGGGGGACUCUAAAAGAGUCGGGUUGCUUGGAACUGCAGCCCUAAGUGGGAGAUAUGAAUCUUCCAAAGCUAAAUAUCGAUGGGAGACCGAUAGCGAACAAGUACUGUGAAGGAAAGAUGAAAAGGACUUUGAAAAGAGAGUGAAAAGAU